CCUUGUUUUCUUCUGCCUAUGUGGAAUAACGUGAAAUAAUUUUCCUCUUCUCUAUCUGGGCUGCCCCAGAGUGUUAAUUUGUCAGAGUAGUUUUGUCUUGAAACAUUUUUGUUUCCAGACAAGUCUUUGCCUUUUAAAAUUGCCUUUUGCUGGGGUUUGUACAACUCCCUGUUUUCCUUGGACAGAUGCAGGUGUGAAGAGCCUUAUCCCAGCACCUCCUGGGCAGGAUGCAUUCCAUGUGUUUUCUCCUAGUUUUGUGUGUUUCCAGGUGUUUUUUUCUUCUAGAUUUGUGCCUUUUUAGCACUGUUGAUGUGUUCACUUGCUUUGCCUUUGAUCCUUGGAUGACUGAGAAGACUGAAGGUGAUGGGGUGAGAAGGGGCAUGUAGAGCUGAACCAUAAAGAAUGAAGAAGAGAGAGAGAGAUCUGUGAGAAUGAGCACAUGCAGAGCAGGCCACAGAGGAAAAGAAUAAAACCAACCUGUUGCCUACAUUAUAUUUUCUUGAUGAAGCAACAGUUCUCUCAGGGACAAAGCUUGCCAACCAAGUGUUGCAGGAAGUUGAAAGGGAUGUAGACUCGUGGAUAUCUGCUGGGAACAAGAGACCUCAUCUCACUGUUGUAUUAGUAGGAGACAAUCCAGCCAGUCAUAUCUAUGUCAGGAAGAAGAUAAAAGCAGCUGCAGCUGUGGGCAUUUCUAGUGAGAUCAUUGUGAGGCCUAAAGACAUUUCUGAGGAAGAGCUCUUAGAUCUGACAGUGCAACUCAACAAGGAUUCCAGAGUUAGUGGUUUGUUAGUUCAGCUUCCUCUGCCAGGUGGGUGACGCCUUUUGUCCCAUUUCUCCUCUACAGUCUGUGUGAGAGGAAAGAGUG